rnacentral:rRNA from 1 species
GAUGAACGCUGGCGGCGUGCCUAAUACAUGCCAGUCGAGCGAACAGACGAGGCGCUUGCUCCUCUGACGUUAGCGGCGGACGGGUGAGUAACACGUGGAUAACCCACCUAUAAGACUGGGAUCACUUCGGGAAACCGGAGCUAAUACUGGAUAAUAUAUUGAACCGCAUGGUUUAAUAGUGAAAGAUGGUUUUGCUGUCACUUAUAGAUGUAUCCGCGCCGCAUUAGCUAGUUGGUAAGGUAACGGCUUACCAAGGGAACGAUGCGUAGCCGAUCUGAGAGGGUGAUCGGCCACACUGGAGCUGAGACACGGUCCAGGCGCCUACGGGAGGCAGCAGUAGGGAAUCGUCCGCAAUGGGCGAAAGCCUGACGAAGCAACGCCGCGUGAGUGAUGAAGGUCUUCGGAGCGGAAAACUCUGUUAUUAGGGAAGAACAAAUGUGUGAGUAACUAUGCACGUCUUGACGGUACCUAAUCAGAAAGCCACGGCUAACUACGUG